rnacentral:misc_RNA from 1 species
CAGUGAAAGAUAUGAAUGCAUUCAAGGCUUUCAAAGCCCAAGUCCCAAUUGCAUGGAGUCCUAACUUAUACAUAACAUUGGUGAGGGGCAUUCCAGGAACCAGGAGACUCCACAGACGUACCUUAGAGGCAUUGCGUCUUCGCAAAUGCAACCGUACUGUUAUGCGAUGGAAUACUCCCACUGUUAGGGGAAUGCUUCAACAGGUAAAGAGAUUAGUUGUGAUUGAGACAGAAGAGAUGUACAAGGCCCGCAAACAAA